GCCGGGGCCCGUGGUGUAGUUGGUCACACGUUCGCUUCAUAUGCGAAUGGUCAUGGGUUUGAUUCCCAGCCCCGGCA